AAAAUGACAAGGUUGACGAAUUGCUUACUUCACCAACUCCCAAGGCUUCUGCAAAAGCUCUACCUUCAAUGAGUAAAUUAGUCUUGAAAAGGAUAAAUCCAGAAUGAAGUGUGGAUUUUGACACCAAUCCAAUUACUCUGAGCUACUCUGAAGUUGUGAUAUAGGCCAUAAAAAUAAUUUUUUGAUUGUGCACCCAGACAUUCUGCUGUCUGGAACAAGGGUUGCUGGCAGUUUUGGUUGUCUUAGGAGAACUGUCUUAGAUGAGAGGCUAAAAUGCAAUGAGUACUCUACUGCAGCAUUGACUGGAACCUUGCUUCACCAAAUUUUUCAGGUUGGGCUCACAGAAGACAAUCCAUCUAUUGACUUCUUGGAAGGUUACAUAGAAGUGGUAUUACUUAGGAACAUUGAGAGUCUGUAUGCUUGUGGAGGUGUGAAUUUGUAGUAUUGUGUCUAUAUAUGUAUCAUGUAUUACAUUAUGCACCUCAAGUGUGGAAUAUAUCAGGAGGAAAUUUU